rnacentral:rRNA from 1 species
AGCUAUACAUGCAAGUCGAGCGGACAGAAGGGAGCUUGCUCCCGGAUGUUAGCGGCGGACGGGUGAGUAACACGUGGGUAACCUGCCUGUAAGACUGGGAUAACUCCGGGAAACCGGAGCUAAUACCGGAUAGUUCCUUGAACCGCAUGGUUCAAGGAUGAAAGACGGUUUCGGCUGUCACUUACAGAUGGACCCGCGGCGCAUUAGCUAGUUGGUGAGGUAACGGCUCACCAAGGCGACGAUGCGUAGCCGACCUGAGAGGGUGAUCGGCCACACUGGGACUGAGACACGGCCCAGACUCCUACGGGAGGCAGCAGUAGGGAAUCUUCCGCAAUGGACGAAAGUCUGACGGAGCAACGCCGCGUGAGUGAUGAAGGUUUUCGGAUCGUAAAGCUCUGUUGUUAGGGAAGAACAAGUGCAAGAGUAACUGCUUGCACCUUGACGGUACCUAACCAGAAAGCCACGGCUAACUACGUGCCAGCAGCCGCGGUAAUACGUAGGUGGCAAGCGUUGUCCGGAAUUAUUGGGCGUAAAGGGCUCGCAGGCGGUUUCUUAAGUCUGAUGUGAAAGCCCCCGGCUCAACCGGGGAGGGUCAUUGGAAACUGGGAAACUUGAGUGCAGAAGAGGAGAGUGGAAUUCCACGUGUAGCGGUGAAAUGCGUAGAGAUGUGGAGGAACACCAGUGGCGAAGGCGACUCUCUGGUCUGUAACUGAC